GCUCCAAAGGUCAGCGGUAGACCGGCCUCACCGAUUAAUGACGUCAGAAAGGUCUGAGGCGUACGCGGGUUCGACCCCCGCUGGAGCG